UGAUGCUUAGCGGCGGACGGGUGAGUAACACGUAGGUAACCUGCCUGUGAGACUGGGAUAACUACCGGAAACGGUAGCUAAUACCGGAUAGACAUUUUCCUCGCCUGAGGGANAUGGGAAAGACGGAGCAAUCUGUCACUUGCAGAUGGACCUGCGGCGCAUUAGCUAGUUGGUGGGGUAACGGCUCACCAAGGCGACGAUGCGUAGCCGACCUGAGAGGGUGAUCGGCCACACUGGGACUGAGACACGGCCCAGACUCCUACGGGAGGCAGCAGUAGGGAAUCUUCCGCAAUGGACG
rnacentral:rRNA from 1 species